GUUGGUGGGACACAUUUUUUUUUUUCUAAUCAGAAACCAGAUUAGGCUUAUCUAAGUAGCAAAAGAGUUUAUGUGCACUACUACAGCUUUGAUGUGAGGAGUUAAUUGGUGUGGAAUAUAUUUCUUGGGAGAAAUACAAUUUAUCUCAUUUGUCUGUUUAUCUUUAUUUCUUUGACCUGAGAAAAUGAAAAAGUUGCUACUACUUAAAAUACUACUUCAUGGUACAGUGUGCUUCAAGCCUAAAAUCUUUUAAUAUUUAGCACAAACAGUGUGUUGUGAACACAAAAUAAACUACUAACAAAUUCCACACACAGGCAUCCUGUUCAACGGCACCUGGGCCUGGUCAGUAUACAUGCCAUCAAGAAUAUCUGGUCUACACAAAUCCUGCCUUGUUAUACCAUGUACAUUCUCCUAUUCAUACUAUCCACCUUAUAACCCUAAUCGGAUAGUGUGGUAUCAGUAUGUUGACCGUGGAUAUCCUCUAGUGCUUGACAGUUGGAACCCUUACUCAGUGAUUGAAAGGUACAGAGGGAGAACCAGCUUAUAUAAGGGAACAUAUAGGGACUGCAGUCUACUGAUUAAAGACCUUAGAUAUUCCCAUGAUGGAGACAGAAUAUAUGCUUGGAUCGACCCAGAAAAUGUUGGAUGGAGAACUUACAAAUUCUAUGAUGUCACUACACUAAUUCAUGUUCAAUCAUCUGCACCAAAGCCCGAAGUUUACAUCUCUGGAGGGUAUAAAAUAGGGGAUAAAAUUAAAGUUCGAUGUAUAACAUAUCACACCUGUCCUUACAAUCCCCCCUCUCUAAGUCUGAGUGGGAUACAAAAAACAUCUGACAGUUUGACAGACAACUAUAUUGGUGAUGGCAAAUGGAAAAUCACGCUAACGCGUCAUGGGGUUGUCGAGUCUGAAACACACCGAGUUGAUUGUUCUGUUACACACAGUGGUGGGCUCUCAGCAUCCACUACCACAAUACAUAAUGCA